GGGAGCAAGUGCCUUGUCAACUGGGCAAAAGUCUGCUCCCCUAAUGCUUACGGUGGUUUGGGGAUCAAAGAUCUGGAUAAGCACAGCAGAGCCAUGCGGUUGCGAUGGUUGUGGCACGAAUGGGAUGUGGAUCCUCGUCCCUAGAAGGGGCUGCAAGUACCAUGUGAUGCGACCGAUCGAAGCCUUUUU
rnacentral:rRNA from 1 species